rnacentral:rRNA from 1 species
UACGGAGGGGCUAGCGUUGUUCGGAAUUACUGGGCGUAAAGCGCACGUAGGCGGCUUUGUAAGUUAGAGGUGAAAGCCCGGAGCUCAACUCCGGAACUGCCUUUAAGACUGCAUCGCUUGAAUCAUGGAGAGGUCAGUGGAAUUCCGAGUGUAGAGGUGAAAUUCGUAGAUAUUCGGAAGAACACCAGUGGCGAAGGCGACUGACUGGACAUGUAUUGACGCUG